GACGAACGCUGGCGGCGUGCUUAACACAUGCCAGUCGAACGGAAAGGCCUGCUUUCCCUUGUGGAUUGCGGGUACUCGAGUGGCGAACGGGUGAGUAACACGUGAGUGAUCUGCCCCCAACUUGGGUAUAAGCCUGGGAAACUGGGUCUAAUUCCCGAUAGGACUGCAGGGUGGUGCCUGUGGUGGAAAACGAUUUUCUAGUGGUUGGGGAUGAGCUCGCGGCCUAUCAGCUUGUUGGUGGGGUAAUGGCCUACCAAGGCGGCGACGGGUAGCCGGCCUGAGGGGGUGGACGGCCACAUUGGGACUGAGAUACGGCCCAGACUCCUACGGGAGGCAGCAGUGGGGAAUAUUGCACAAUGGGCGGAAGCCUGAUGCAGCGACGCCGCGUGGGGGAUGACGGCCUUCGGGUUGUAAACUCCUUUCGACCGCGAGGAAGCCACCUGGUUGGAAGGGUGGUGACGGUAGUGGUAGAAGAAGCACCGGCUAACUACGUG
rnacentral:rRNA from 1 species